rnacentral:misc_RNA from 1 species
GAUGAAGAACGCAGUGAAAUGCGAUAAGUAAUGUGAAUUGCAGAAUUCAGUGAAUCAUCGAAUCUUUGAACGCACAUUGCGCCCUCUGGUAUUCCGGGGGGCAUGCCUGUUCGAGCGUCAUUAUAACCACUCAAGCUCUCGCUUGGUAUUGGGGUUCGCGGUUCCGCGGCCCUAAAAUCAGUGGCGGUGCCUGUCGGCUCUACGCGUAGUAAUACUCCUCGCGAUUGAGUCCGGUAGGUCUACUUGCCAGCAACCCCCAAUUUUUACAGGUUGACCUCGGAUCAGGUAGGGAUACCCGCUGAACUUAAGCAUAUCAAUAAGCGGAGGA